CGGAAAACAGGUUCUAGUAGAAGAACCUAAACAUACACGGGAGACACAUAAAUUGCUUCAGGUAGUUGGGGGGACGGCUCGAAGGAAGAAAUUACUCUCACCAAAGAGCAUGGAUGUGCGUCCCAUGAUGGAAGUUGUAAAAGCUGCUGCAUUUGGUAUUUUGCAAGCAGCGGGUGGUUGCCCUGCAUCUUUGAGGCCGGGCCGUUGGUUGGACCUAUAUAGUGGGACAGGAUCAGUUGGUAUAGAAGCCAUCAGCCGAGGGUGUUCUGAGGUGCAUUUUGUUGAG
rnacentral:misc_RNA from 1 species